AAAAAUUAAAGUCGAACAGACUUAACACUUAAAUCUCUACAUUCAAAUGUAAACUUAAUUCAACAUCGAGGUCAUAAACAUUUCCAUAAAUAUGAUCUUCAAAAAAAUAUUAUG
rnacentral:rRNA from 1 species